GACGAACGCUGGCGGCGUGCCUAACACAUGCAAGUCGAACGGGGUGAUUCCUUCGGGGAUCACUUAGUGGCGAACGGGUGAGUAACGCGUGAGGAACCUGCCUUUCAGUGGGGGACAACAGUUGGAAACGACUGCUAAUACCGCAUAACAUGUACGGAUCGCAUGGUCUGUACAUCAAAGCUUUAUGUGCUGAAAGAUGGCCCUCGCGUCUGAUUAGCUAGUUGGUGGGGUAACGGCCCACCAAGGCGACGAUCAGUAGCCGGUCUGAGAGGAUGAACGGCCACAUUGGGACUGAGAUACGGCCCAGACUCCUACGGGAGGCAGCAGUGGGGAA
rnacentral:rRNA from 1 species